GACGAACGCUGGCGGCGUGCUUAACACAUGCAAGUCGAACGGAAAGGCCCUGCUUUUGUGGGGUGCUCGAGUGGCGAACGGGUGAGUAACACGUGAGUAACCUGCCCUUGACUUUGGGAUAACUUCAGGAAACUGGGGCUAAUACCGGAUAGGAGCUCCUGCUGCAUGGUGGGGGUUGGAAAGUUUCGGCGGUUGGGGAUGGACUCGCGGCUUAUCAGCUUGUUGGUGGGGUAGUGGCUUACCAAGGCUUUGACGGGUAGCCGGCCUGAGAGGGUGACCGGCCACAUGGGGACUGAGAUACGGCCCAGAGUACUACGGGAGGCAGCAGUGGGGAAUAUUGCACAACGGGCGGAAGCCUGAUGCAGCAACGCCGCGUGAGGGAUGACGGCCUUCGGGUUGUAAACCGCUUUCGCCUGUGCCGAAGCGUGAGUGACGGUAAUGGGUAAAGAAGCACCGGCUAACUACAUG
rnacentral:rRNA from 1 species